GUACAUCUUUGGAGUAUGGGAGGAAACCGAAGAUCUCGCAGAAAACCCACGCAGAUCACGGGGAGAAAGUACAAACUCCAUACAGACAGCAGCCGUAGUUGGGAUCGAACACGGGUCUCUGGCGCUGCAUUUUUGCUGUAAGGCAGCAACUUUACCGCUGUGCCACCGUGACUAUUUUAAAUUUGGUGUAAAAUGUAGACCAACGUAGAUGUAUAAUUUAUGUUCAAAAGAUCCAUUGAAGUAGAAGUGCAAAGUUGAAGCAUUAUCUUGCUAUCAUUUCUCACCACUAACUGUGAAAGUUUCUACCCACAUGAAAAGAUACACAGAAAAGUUUAUUCUCAUAUUGGAAAUUAAAGGAGCAGAAUUAACACUGUAUAACAGACCAUCAAUUUUCCAUCAAAUUAAUGCCACUGUCUCACUUAGGAAACCUGAACGUAAACCUCUGGUGACCUUGCGCCCCCACCCAUGGUUUCCAUGAGUCGCCAGGGGUUUUGGUCACUCACCUGGAAAAACUCGACCGAAGCGUGAGCUGCAUCUACUGACCAAAGAUCCUAUAGGAUCUUUGUUACCGGCCGUACACAAACACAUCGCGAAGGUGGGGGCCAGGGACAGCGGAGGAGCGCUGUCUGCGCGAUGAAGAGGAAGGUAAACGGCUGCCACAGAGCACGUUUGCAUUCCCACGGCACAGGUUGCCUCACCACUCCAGCUGGUGCUCGAGUUAAGACCAGCUACGGACACAUCUUCGAUACACAGGCCCCAAGGACCAGUCUGCCAGUGAUGGAUAACACAAGGAUGCUCGUUGCAGCUGCGUACUUCCUGUAAGGCACUGAUGUUUGGGCACUGCGCUGCUCCUAUUGAAAAAUAAAAGAAAUAAGAAUAAAUUGAACGUGCACGCAUCUGUUUACCCUCGGUGGUUUUGCCAGAACAAGUAUAAGAGCACGAUGACCACCCAGACCAUUUACUAAGGACACAGUCUUUCGGACAAGGUACUUCACACGAUACUGGCACAGGAUAGAUGG